AAGUCGUAACAAGGUUUCCGUAGGUGAACCUGCGGAAGGAUCAUUAACACGUAUCCACGUAUCCACCCAAGCGAACAAAAUUUCACCCUCCCUGCGUCAUGUUACACGAGUCCGGUAUAAAGGGUAGGACGGGUUUGAAUGGGACUGGCCUCGGCCGGUCGACCCCCCUAUCACAUGAGACUGUGAGAGCGACUCGUCGCUCUUGCUUUCCAACGGCUGUAGUAGAAGGCGCAGGCAACUUCCUAUGAGGCAUGGCUCCCAAUUCAUGCUGAGCCCAUAGGGACCCCACCAAUACACUAUACUCACCCCCUUUUUGCUAGUUGACUUUUUAUAUGUGCGCUUUGGCCUCGGCCGGAGUCACACGUUUAAUUACUUGAACGUUAAAAAUACAACUCUUAGCAAUGGAUAUCUUGGUUCUC
rnacentral:misc_RNA from 1 species